rnacentral:tRNA from 1 species
GAGGAUAAGGGCUAGAGUUAUCGAUAUUAGCUUUUCGUGCUAAGGAUGGUGUUUGGCAUAUCAGUUAGUA